rnacentral:piRNA from 1 species
UAGUAUCGGUAACGUAGUGUUGGUGU